rnacentral:ncRNA from 1 species
CUGGUUGAUCUUGCCAGUUGUCUUAAAGAUUUAAAUCAUGCAUGUGUAAGUAUGAACUAAUUCAGAUUGUGAAAUUGUGAAUGACUCAUUAAAUCCGUUAGUUUGUUUAAUGGUAUUUGCUAUUCGGAUAACUGUAGUAAUUCUAGAGCUAAUUCGGGCAACAAACCCUGGCUUUUGAAAGGGAUGCAUUUAUUAGAUAACUCCAUGCUGGCUCUGCCCAAUGCUCUGGUGAUUUAUGAUAACUCGACGGAUCGCACGACCAUUAUACCCAACGAUGCAUUCAAAUUUCUGCCCUAUCAACUUUUGAUGGUAGGAUAGAAGCCUACCAUGGUGAAGAUGGGUGACAAAGAAUUAGGAUUCAAUUUUGAAAAGGGAGCUUGAGAAACAACUACUAGCACCCUCGUCGUAGGGAUGCGACAUCACGGUGACCCUUCCUGGGAGGGGUUUGGAAUGUCUUUUUGGUUGGUUAGGGAGUUGUCACCUAGCAUUAUGACUACUAGGAAUCCUAAAUAGUUUCCCCCUAGAGAUUCUAGACA